GUCCGUCCAUCUUGGGUUUUAAGGGACCAAGGGGGAACAACUUUAGCGUCGGACAUCAACAUCUUCGUAUGAAAACUCCAACGAUGUGAAAAUGAGGAAUUGGCGAGUCUUUGUAAACUUGAAAAUGUACUGAAGAAACAACUUAAGGUAUUUUGGAAAGGUUUUAAUGGCAAAAAUAAUAUUGACUUAAUUUUGCGGACAUCAACAUCUUCGUAUGAAAACUCCAACGAUGUGAAAAUGAGGAAUUGGCGAGUCUUUGUAAACUUGAAAAUGUACUAAAAAACAACUUAAGGUAUUUUGCAUAGACCUUAAUGGCAAAAAUAAACAGUAAUAAGAGACUGACUUGGUUUCGUCUUCGUAUAAAAAAUUCAGAUGAUACAAAAAAAGAAAGAUUUGGCGAGUCUUCGGAAAGUUCUAACUCAUAAAAAAAACUUCCAGGUAAUUUUUCAAAGUCCUUAAAAUGCAAAUAAUGUAGACUAAUUGAAGAUUCUGGGGUAUUUAAAGCAAUGGUAGAGGAUGUUGGCUAUAGGCUAUCAGGAGGUUCUGGGGUACUUAUAACACUGGAGGAGGAGGUUGAUUGGAUGUUAUUGAAGGUCUUAGUAAUUUGGGAAGGUCAUAGCAGCGGCGAAAGCUAAAAUAAGGAAGCAAAAAUAGGGGACAGGCAAAAACUUAACUCAAAAACACUCAAAAAAAUGCAGGAAGAAGAAACGAAGGA